GAUGAACGCUGGCGGCGUGCCUAAUACAUGCAAGUCGAGCGAACAGACGAGGAGCUUGCUCCUCUGACGUUAGCGGCGGACGGGUGAGUAACACGUGGAUAACCUACCUAUAAGACUGGGAUAACUUCGGGAAACCGGAGCUAAUACCGGAUAAUAUAUUGAACCGCAUGGUUCAAUAGUGAAAGACGGUUUUGCUGUCACUUAUAGAUGGAUCCGCGCCGCAUUAGCUAGUUGGUAAGGUCACGGCUUACCAAGGCAACGAUGCGUAGCCGACCUGAGAGGGUGAUCGGCCGCACUGGAACUGAGACACGGUCCAGACUCCUACGGGAGGCAGCAGUAGGGAAUCUUCCGCAAUGGGCGAAAGCUUGACGGAGCAACGCCGCGUGAGUGAUGAAGGUCUUCGGAUCGGAAAACUCUGUUAUUAGGGAAGAGCAAAUGUGUAAGUAACUAUGCACGUCUUGACGGUACCUAAUCAGAAAGCCACGGCUAACUACGUG
rnacentral:rRNA from 1 species